UCCAGCUGAUCCUGCUGGCGGAAACUGCUAUCGAAAUUCCACUCAGACAUGCAAGUCGCAAAUUCACGGUAAGUGAGUUUGGCGCACGGCUCAGCAACACGUGGCCAACCUACCUUCAAGAAGGGUUAAUCCCGGGAAACUGGGGCUAAUGCCAUAUAUGCGAACGAAACUGGAAUGUUUGUUCGUAGAAAGGGAAUAUCCUAAUACCGGAUAUAUUCGCUUGAAGAUGGGGCUGCGGCGCAUUAGGUUGUUGGCGGGGUAACUGCCCACCAAGCCGAUGAUGCGUACGGGCCUUGAGAGAGGUAGCCCGGAGAAGGGUACUGAGAUAAGGAACCUAGCCCUACGGGGUGCAGCAGUCAGGAAACCUUUACACUGCACGAAAGUGCGAUAGGGGGAUUUCGAGUGCUCUCACUGAGAGCUUUUGCUAAGUCUAAAUCGCUUGGCGAAUAAAAGGGGGGUAAUAUACGUGCCAGCCGCCGCGGUAAUACGUAACCCUUAAGUGGUUUCCACUCAUAUUGGGCUUAAAACGCCUGUAGCCGGUUCUCCAAGUCUUUGGUGAAAUCAGCCAGCUCAACUGGUUGAACUGCCAAAGAUACUGUUGAACUUGGGGAAGGAAGACGUCAGGAGAAUUUUUGGGGUAGCGGUGAAAUGCUAUGAUGCCAAAAAGACUACCAGUAGCGAAGGCGCCUGACGAGUACUAUCCCGACGGUGAGAGACGAAAGCUGGGGGAGCGACCAGGAUUAGAUACCCUGUUAGUCCCAGCUGUAAACGAUGUGGACUAUGUGUUCUGUGCCCCACGAGGGCCUGGAGCGCCGGAGUGAAAACGUUAAGUCCACUGCCUGGGGAGUACGCUCGCAAGGGUGAAACUUAAUGGAAUUGGCGGGGACUCACUACAAGGGGUGGAUGCUGCGGUUUAAUUGGAUACAACGCCAGAAAAUCUUACCGGAGACGACAGCAGGAUGAUGGACAGUCUGAAGGGCUUUCCUGACACGCUGAGAGGUCCUGUAUGGCCACUUCCAGCUCGUACUAUGAAGCGUCCUGUUAACUCAGGCAACGGGCGAGACCCACAUCAAUAGUUGCAACUCCUCUGCGAGGGGGCACUCUAUUGGGACUGCGGGAGUAAUCUCGAGGAAGGCGUGGGCUACAGUAGGUCUGUAUGAGCCGAAUUUUCCGGGCAACACGCGACAUACAAUGGUUAAGACAAUGGGUUGCUAACCCGAAAGGGGGCGCUAAUCUCCUAAACUUAACCUCAGUUCGGAUUGAGGGCUGUAACCCGCCCUCAUGAAGUUGGAAUCCCCAGUAAUCGCGUGUCAUUAUCGCGCGGUGAAUAAGUCCCUGAGUCUUGCACACACCGCCCAUCAAGCCAGCUGAGUGAAGUUUGGAUGAAUUCACGCCUUUCGGUGUGAAUGAUUCUAUAUUUUGCGAAGCGGGCUAAGUUGUAACAAGGUG
rnacentral:rRNA from 1 species